UACGGGGGGGGCAAGCGUUGUUCGGAAUUACUGGGCGUAAAGGGCGCGUAGGCGGUUCGAUAAGUCAGCUGUGAAAACCAUGGGCUUAACUCAUGGCCUGCAGUUGAGACUGUCGGGCUGGAGUGUGGGAGAGGAGAGUGGAAUUCCUGGUGUAGCGGUGAAAUUCGUAGAUAUCGGGAGGAACACCAGUGGCGAAGGCGGCGACCUGGGCCAAUAUUGACGCUGAGGUGCGAAAGCGUGGGGAGCAAACAGG
rnacentral:rRNA from 1 species